CCUACGGGUGGCAGCAGUGAGGAAUAUUGGUCAAUGGACGCGAGUCUGAACCAGCCAAGCCGCGUGAAGGAUGACUGCCCUAUGGGUUGUAAACUUCUUUUAUAUGGGAAUAAAACGUUCCACGUGUGGGAUUUUGUAUGUACCAUAUGCAUAAGGAUCGGCCAACUCCGUGCCAACAGCCGGGGUAAUACGGAGGAUCCGAGCGUUAUCCGGAUUUGUUGGGUUUAAAGGGAGCGUAGGUGGGUUGUUAAGUCAGUUGUGAAAGGUUGCGGCUCAACCAUAAAAUUGCAGUUGAAACUGGCAGGCUAGAGUACAGGAGAGGUGGGCGGAAUUCGUGGUGUAGCGGUGAAAUGCUUAGAUAUCACGAAGAACUCCGAUUGCGAAGGCAGUUCACUGGACUGCAACUGACACUGAGGCUCGAAAGUGUGGGGAUCAAACAGGAUUAGAUACCCGGGUAGUC
rnacentral:rRNA from 1 species